rnacentral:rRNA from 1 species
UACGUAGGGUGCAAGCGUUGUCCGGAAUUAUUGGGCGUAAAGAGCUCGUAGGCGGUUUGUUGCGUCGGCUGUGAAAUCCCGAGGCUCAACCUCGGGUCUGCAGUCGAUAUGAGCAAACUAGAGUGUUGCAGGGGAGACUGGAAUUCCUGGUGUAGCGGUGAAAUGCGCAGAUAUCAGGAGGAGCACCGGUGGCGAAGGCGGGUCUCUGGGCAACAACUGACGCUGAGGAGCGAAAGCGUGGGGAGCGAACAGG